GGGGCAGGUCCAAAUAAUCUCCAUGGAAAUGAUAUAUGCUGAUACUUAUACAACUGCAGACCUAUUAUCAUUAACCAACCACUAAUGGUUUCCCAUAAACUGACCUAAUCAAACUAAUACAUAACUAAGCAAAAAUUUAAAAAAAAUCAAUAAACCAUAACUGAGGGGGCGGGGCCAAAUAAUCCCCAUGGUAAUAAGAGGUGCUAAUGCUUAUAAAACUACAUACCAAUCAUCGUUAACCUACCACUAGUGGUUCCCCAUAAACUUACAUAGUCACAAGCUAAUACAUGAAAACUAUUAAAGCAAAAGUUUAAAAGUCAAUAUAAAACCACAACUGAGGGGGCAGGGCCAAAUAAUCUCCAUGGUAAUGAAAUGUGCUAGUGCUAAUACAGCUGUGUACUAAAUAUCUUUGACUCAGUUCACCAUCAACUUACAUAAUCACAAACUAAUACAUUGUUGACGCCGCCGUCAACAGCAUACCUAUGUCUCGCUUUUUGACUCCAUCAACAACAAAAAUAAUGAGGGGAAAUGUAAU
rnacentral:lncRNA from 1 species